rnacentral:misc_RNA from 1 species
CUCGCAUCAUAUUUUUGCAAUUUGCACGUAGCAGUCUUCCUAAUCUCUAUCUCUUCUAUUCAAUGUUUACAAAGAACUUAGGGUUUUGAAAACUGAGAUGGGUUUGACCAAUUUCAUCAUCACGGUGGCCGGUGUCAGCGCCGUCAUUCUUCUAUUAAGGAGCGAUGUGAAGCAAUCGGCUACCAUUUUUAGGCGCAACGUCAAGCACAUCCGUCAAUGGCUCGAAGAAGAAUCCGCCGCUGCCUCCAAGUAUGUCCUCUAUGUAGUCAAAUCCAUCGAUACAUUUGUGUCUAUAGUUGGUUUCUAUUUCGUUCAAAGUUGGAUUUGAAUCCAUGAAUGGCUGCCUAAACUUCAAUUGAAUGAUUUUACUUCUGUGCUGUAAUUCAAAUUACAUGAACCCAAUAGAUAGAAAUAGACAAAAAAGGAUUAGAGAGAUUUGGAACUGAAUUCUGUUAUACUCAAAUACUCAUCUUUUCAACAGUUAUAGCUAUAUAUUCAACAAUCUUGUAAUAACGAUCUAACAUUUCCGCCACUUUAUUGUUGCUUUAAUUUCUUCGCUGCAUCAGCCGCAUCUUGAAUGACCUUGUCCUUAAGAAUGAUAUUACCAUUAGAAUGUUUCACUCAAACCAAAACUUCUGUAGUAGCUAUAUUCCCUCUCAUAACCAUUAUUGUAUCUAAAAUGGAGCAGUAAUGUGGAAUGACUCGAUUUUGUGAAUCGACAACAAGCAUAUGAUGUGGACUGAUUCUGUUUUUGAGCUGAGAAACAUUUAUAUUGUUAAAAUUCGGGCAAGUCAAGAUUAUAAGUGGCAUUUCCAAUCUUGUGAAGGUAUUUUUAGGGGCCAUAGUAUAUAUGUGAGUGUGUGUGUGUUUCCGAUAUUUAUAAAGGUGAGAGCUUGGUUUAGUGUUUAGAGACUAAGGACUAUUGUCUAUAAGGCUGUAGCAAAGCAUACACCUAGUCAACUAUAUGCAACUGUCUUUCAGUCUUGUGCUUAUUAGCCAAUUGAGCCACCAUUUUCUUUCACUCCCCUCUGGAGGUGAUAUUUGAGCGGUGUCAAAUUUUGUUCCCGAUCAUUAAACUCCUGAUCAUCGCAGGUACAGGAGAAUUUUCAGUCCUUUUUUUAUUAGUCAAUUGAGCUGUUCUUUUUUUCCCCCCUCCCCUCUGAAGGUGAUAUUUAAGCAGUUUCAAUGUUUCUUCACGAUUAUUAAACUCCUGAUCAUAGCAGAUAAAGGAGGUUCCCCA